GAGCUCACUUCGGUAGCACAUAUACUAAAAUUGGAACAAUACAGAGAUUAGCACAGUCCCUGUGCAAGGAUGGUAUGUAAAGUGCAUAUGUUAGUGAGGAAGCUU
ensembl:snRNA U6 U6 spliceosomal RNA